rnacentral:rRNA from 1 species
CUGUCAGAAGGGACGAAGAAAGUGACGGUACCUUCAGAGAAGCCCCGGGCUAACUACGUGCCAGCAGCCGCGGUAACACGUAGGUGGCGAGCGUUAUUCGGAUUCACUGGGCGUAAAGGGUCCGCAGGGGGUUUGCCAAGUCCGGUGUGAAAGUCCGGGGCUCAACCCCGGAACGGCGCCGGAUACUGGUGAACUGGAGUGCGCGAAGGGCGAGCGGAAUUCCGGGUGUAACGGUGGAAUGCGUGGAUAUCCGGAAGAACACCGGCGGCGAAGGCGGCUCGCCGGCGCGCGACUGACCCUCAUGGACGAAAGCGUGGGUAGCGAACAGGAUUAGACACCCUGGUAGUCCACGCCGUAAACGGUGCAGACUCGAUGCGGGGGGCGGUCCCCUCCGUGUCCAAGCCAACGCGUUAAGUCUGCCGCCUGGGGACUACGGCCGCAAGGCUAAAACUCAAAGGAAUUGACGGGGGCCCGCACAAGCGGUGGAGCAUGUGGCUCAAUUCGAGGCAACGCGAAGAACCUUACCCGGGCUUGACAUAUGCCGGCCCGCCCGUGAAAGCGGGUUUUCCCUUCGGGGACCGGCAUACAGGUGCUGCAUGGCUGUCGUCAGCUCGUGCCGUGAGGUGUUCGGUUAAGUCCGGCAACGAGCGCAACCCGUAUGGUCAGUUGCCAUCAGGUAAAGCUGGGCACUCUGGCCAGACCGCCCGUGUCAAGCGGGAGGAAGGCGCGGACGACGUCAAGUCCGUAUGGCCCUUACGCCCGGGGCUGCACACGUGCUACAAUGGACGGCACAGCGGGACGCCACGCCGCGAGGCGCAGCAAAUCCCCAAAACCGUCCCCAGUUCGGAUCGGAGUCUGCAAUUCGACUCCGUGAAGUCGGAAUCGCUAGUAAAGGCGCAUCAGCAACGGCGCCUUGAAUUCGUUCCCGGGCCUUGUACACACCGCCCGUCACAUCAUGGAAGCCGGCUGCACCCGAAGUC